GCGGUGGUGCAAUGGUUAGCAUACGCUCCCGUAAAGAUCAAGAUCUGGGUUCGAAUCCCAGCGGACGCA